AUUGAACGCUGGCGGCAGGCUUAACACAUGCAAGUCGAGCGAGCGGCGGACGGGUGAGUAAUGUCUGGGAAACUGCCUGAUGGAGGGGGAUAACUACUGGAAACGGUAGCUAAUACCGCAUACCAUCGGAUGUGCCCAGAUGGGAUUAGCUAGUAGGUGGGGUAAAGGCUCACCUAGGCGACGAUCCCUAGCUGGUCUGAGAGGAUGACCAGCCACACUGGAACUGAGACACGGGCCAGACUCCUACGGGAGGCAGCAGUGGGGAAUAUUGCACAAUGGGCGCAAGCCUGAUGCAGCCAUGCCGCGUGUAUGAAGAAGGCCUUCGGGUUGUAAAGGACUUUUGUCAGGGAAGCGGUACCUGAAGAAUAAGCACCGGCUAACUACGUGCCGGCAGCCGCGGUAAUUC
rnacentral:rRNA from 1 species